rnacentral:lncRNA from 1 species
GUUGUCGGAACAGAAUAUUUGACUAGAUGUUAUCUAUGUUAUCUGUAAUAAUUUGUUUGCUAUUUGAGGUACGGUAUGGGACGUAUUAUAUAAAUUGAAUGGUAAUGAUAGUUGUUAUGGAAACUUCUGGACAAUCUGCUUCGCUUAGUGCCAUGCCUCGAUGAUUCCGCCAUCGGUUGGGGUGUGACAUCAAGCAUUUGAUCAUCUGCUAAACGAAGUUUACCAAAGUUACCUGUUCGUAGAUUCUUGACCAUAUCUGGGCAUGAGAUGGCAUUGAAAGAAGCACCUGAAUCCAUAAUCCAAGAUUCAACUGAAUCUUCAACAGAACAGAUGAGAACAUCACCUAAUUCUUUCGAGGAUACACUAUUUACUUCUUUCUUUGAAGCGGGUUUUGUACAUUGGCUUCUAUAGUGACCUUUUUCUUUGCAAUUCCAACAUUCAACGUCUUUUCUAUUCUUUGACUAUCCCCUUCUUCUGGACUUGGACCUGCCUCGAUUAUGUCCUCUUUCGUUUCUUCUUCCUCUACUUUCUGUAUGCAAUAAAGAACUAGAAUUAGAAGUCUCACCACUGCUUCUCCGUCUGAUAUCUUCGUUUACUAUCAAGUCACGAAUACUAUCGAAAGUGAGUUUGGUAGUGCCGGAUGCACUACUAACAGCUGUGACUGUGCCUGACCAACUAUCGGGCAACGAUGAUAAAAGGAGUAGUGCUUGCACUUCAUCUUCAAACUUUAUUUCAACUGAGGCUAAACGAGAGAUAAUCGAGUUAAACUCAUUUAUGUGAGCGGUAACCGACAUGCCUUCCUUCAUCUUGGUGUUAACCAAUUGUCGGAUGAGGAAUACUUUGUUUGAAGCGGAUGGCUUUUCAUACAUGUUGGACAAAGCUUUCAAUACACCAUAUGUGGUUGUUUCAUUGACAAUGUUGUAAGCAACACUCUUUGCCAAAGAAAGCCUAACCACACCCAAAGCUUGUCUAUCCAACAACUUCCAUUCUUCAUCAUACAUGUCAUCUGGUUGUUCACCUGACAUAGGCAAAUGCAAACUUUUCUGAUACAAUAAAUCUUCUAUUUGCAUUUUCCAAAAUCCAUAAUCACUUCCAUCGAACUUAUCAAUCUUGAUUUUACUAUCUUCUGCCAUUAAAAAAUUACCAAAUUACUACUAACCAAACGAGUUUGUACUGCUAAGUGGUAAUUUAUACGAGCGAAAGCAAUAAUCAGAAACAAAUAACUUAUCUGUUUCAAGCUUUAAUGGCAAGGACAAGUAUUGAUUGAUAAUAAGAUCUUGUUCAAAGUUGAGGGGCCUUUCUGAUCAAAUUGAAACUUUAAUUUCUCCACCAGAAAUAAAAGUUGAGGGGGCCUUUCUGUUUAAAUUGAGAAACUCAAUUUCCAACAUAAAAUAAAACACGUUCAAUGUUUCUUCUUCCCCAAUUCCACAGAACAAAAAAAAUUAGGGUUCUUCUCUUUUUUCCCCUACGAUCUCCCAAGAGAACGGGCAGAUGACAGCGCCGGCGGUGCUUGUGACGGCGAAGAGAGGCAGCGGCGGCGGCUGCUUGCGACGGCGAAGAGGGGCAGCGGCGGCGGCUACUUGCGACGACGAAGAGGGGCAGCGGCGGCGGCUAAGAGAGGUAGCGGCGAUUCUGAUCGUUUCUGAUCGGUUUCUGAUCGGUUUCUGAUCGGUUGGUUUCUGAUUGGACUUUGAUCGGAUUCUGAUUCCGAUUUCACACUGUCAGAGCUUGAGGAGUGGAGACUUGAUUGGAGCGGGUAAGUGUCGUGGCAGCUUGUAUCGAAGGAAAGUAAUCUAAUAAUUGCAAAUUCCAGUUUGUAAGUUAUAUAUAAUAGUAACAAGUUUUUUUUUGCUGUUGUAUAUUGUUUUGUUGUUGUGAAAUCUUUUGUAAAUGGUUAAAAUUAAGUGACCUAUAUGAAAUAGAUAAGAACUUUGUUCUUAUUUAGUAAUUAUUCUUUUCGAAUUAAGCAUCAAGUAAACAUGUAUAAG